rnacentral:rRNA from 1 species
AACGAACGCUGGCGGCAUGCCUAACACAUGCAAGUCGAACGAGACCUUCGGGUCUAGUGGCGCACGGGUGCGUAACGCGUGGGAACCUGCCCUUAGGUUCGGAAUAACAGUUAGAAAUGACUGCUAAUACCGGAUAAUGUCUUCGGACCAAAGAUUUAUCGCCUUUGGAUGGGCCCGCGUAAGAUUAGGUAGUUGGUGGGGUAAUGGCCUACCAAGCCGACGAUCUUUAGCUGGUCUGAGAGGAUGAUCAGCCACACUGGGACUGAGACACGGCCCAGACUCCUACGGGAGGCAGCAGUGGGGAAUAUUGGACAAUGGGCGAAAGCUUGAUCCAGCAAUGCCGCGUGAGUGAUGAAGGCCUUAGGGUUGUAAAGCUCUUUUACCAGGGAUGAUAAUGACAGUACCUGGAGAAUAAGCUCCGGCUAACUCCGUGCCAGCAGCCGCCGUAA